rnacentral:pre_miRNA from 13 species
GAGACAGCCAGCCAUGCCAGCCCAGCGUUCAGACCACCUGUGCAGGAGCCUCUGAGUGCACAGUAGUUUACACAUUGGUUCGGCCAAGCCAGGUGAGCAG